UCCAAUCGAACCCGGAGAUAGCUGGUUCUCCCCGAAAUAGCUUUAGGGCUAGCGUUGUGAGAAGAGUUAUACGAAGGUAGAGCACUGAAUGGGUGAGGGCCGCACCUCGCGGUACCAAUCUCAAUCAAACUCCGAAUGUCGUAUAAUAUGCGCAGCAGUAAGACUAUGGGUGAUAAGGUCCAUGGUCAAAAGGGAAACAGCCCAGACCGCCAGUUAAGGUCCCAAAAUUAUGCUAAGUGGGAAAGGAGGUGGAGUCGCUUAAACAACUAGGAGGUUGGCUCAGAAGCAGCCAUCCUUUAAAGAGUGCGUAAUAGCUCACUAGUCGAGUGAUUCUGCGCCGAAAAUGUAUCGGGGCUAAGCAUAAUACCGAAGCUGCGGGAUUAGAUGAAGAAUCUAAUCGGUAGGGGAGCGUACUAAGUGCGUAGAAGGUUGACCGGAAGGGCAGCUGGAGCGCUUAGCAGUGAGUAUGCCGGUGUGAGUAGCGAUAAGAUGGGUGAGAAUCCCAUCCGUCGAAAGCCUAAGGUUUCCAGGGGUAAGGCUCGUCCUCCCUGGGUAAGUCGGGUCCUAAGGUGAGGCUGAGAAGCGUAGCUGAUGGACAUCAGGUUGAUAUUCCUGAACCACCAUAAAACUGAAGGAAUGACGGAGGAGGCUAAUCAGAGCUGAUUAAUGGAUUUCAGUUUAAGUACAAAGAGGGUUACGUAGGCAAAUCCGCGUAGCAAAACCUUGAAGUAUGACGACGUAAGUCUGGUGAAGCCACACUUCCAAGAAAAGUUUCUAGGUGUAUUUUAUGGUGCCCGUACCGUAAACGGACACACGUAGGCGAGGAGAGAAUCCAAAGACGCGCGAGAUAAUUCUUGUUAAGGAACUCUGCAAAAUUACUCUGUAACUUCGGAAUAAAGAGGGCUCCCGUGAGGGAGACGCAGAAAAUAGGCCCAAGCGACUGUUUAACAAAAACAUAGGUUUCUGCUAAAGCGUAAGCUGAUGUAUAGGAGCUGACGCCUGCCCAGUGCUGGAAGGUUAAGAGGAGAAGUUAGUCGCAAGGCGAAGCUUUGAAUUGAAGCCCCAGUAAACGGCGGCCGUAACUAUAACGGUCCUAAGGUAGCGAAAUUCCUUGUCAGGUAAGUUCUGACCCGCACGAAAGGCGUAACGAUUUGGGCGCUGUCUCAACAAGAAACUCGGUGAAAUCAUAGUACCUGUGAAGAUGCAGGUUACCCGCGAUCAGACGGAAAGACCCCAUGGAGCUUCACUGCAACUUAAUAUUGAUAUUGGGUGUGUGAUGUACAGGAUAGGUGGGAGACAAAGAAGCGAGUACGCUAGUAUUCGUGGAGUCAACCUUGGGAUACCACCCCUCGCACAUUUAGUAUCUAACUAGUUUCCAUAAGCUGGGAAUAGAACAGUGUUAGGUGGGCAGUUUGACUGGGGCGGUCGCCUCCCAAAGAGUAACGGAGGCGCCCAAAGGUUCCCUCAGAAUGGUUGGAAAUCAUUCAUAGAGUGUAAAGGCAGAAGGGAGCUUGACUGCGAGACGGACAGGUCGAGCAGGAACGAAAGUUGGGCUUAGUGAACCGGCUGUGCUGAAUGGAAAGGCAGUCGAUCAACGGACAAAAGCUACCCUGGGGAUAACAGGCUGAUCUCCCCCAAGAGUUCACAUCGACGGGGAGGUUUGGCACCUCGAUGUCGGCUCGUCGCAUCCUGGGGCUGGAGAAGGUCCCAAGGGUUGGGCUGUUCGCCCAUUAAAGUGGCACGCGAGCUGGGUUCAGAACGUCGUGAGACAGUUCGGUCCCUAUCUGUCGUGGGCGUAGGAAAUUUGAAGGGAGUUGUCCCUAGUACGAGAGGACCAGGAUGAACGCACCGCUGGUGCACCAGUUGGCUUGCCAAGGCCACAGCUGGGUAGCUACGUGCGGCCGGGAUAAACGCUGAAAGCAUCUAAGCGUGAAGCCCCCCCUGAGAUGAGAUUUCCCAUUAGAAAUAAGUAAGACCCCUUAGAGAUGAUGAGGUUGAUAGGUCAGAGAUGUAAGCACUGCGAGGUGUUGAGUUGACUGAUACUAAUAGGUCGAGGACUUAACCU
rnacentral:rRNA from 1 species